GACUUCUGGUUUAAUGCACCUGGCCCGCAGCCAACAGGUUUGUGAGUGCCGGCGCGCGUUUACCAUCCUUCCAGGAAACGAUGGAUCAUUUACUUUGAAAAAAUUAGAGUGUUUAAAGCAGGCUUUUGCUAUGAAUACAUUAGCAUGGAAUAAUAAUCUAGGACUUCGGUUCUAUUUUGUUGGUUUCUAUAACUGAAGUAAUGAUUGAUAGGGAUAGUUGGGGGUGCUAGUAUUGGCCGGUCAGAGGUGAAAUUCUUGGAUUCGGUCAAGACUAACUUAUGCGAAAGCAUU
rnacentral:rRNA from 1 species